rnacentral:rRNA from 1 species
GUCUAUGGCCACAUCACCCUGAAGGUGCCCGAUCUUGGCUGAUCUCGGAAGCUAAGCAGGGUCGGCCCUGGUUAGUACUUGGAUGGGAGUCAUUUGCUUUUCAAAAGAGAGAGAAGGGAACUGGUUUGUCU